rnacentral:rRNA from 1 species
GCUUGCUCCUCCUGAUUAGUGGCGAACGGGUGAGUAAUACGUGAGCAAUGUGCCCUUGACUCUGGGAUAAGCGCUGGAAACGGCGUCUAAUACCGGAUACGACGAUCGGAGGCAUCUCCUGGUCGUGGAAAGAAUUUCGGUCAAGGAUCAGCUCACGGCCUAUCAGUUAGUUGGUGAGGUAAUGGCUCACCAAGACGACGACGGGUAGCCGGCCUGAGAGGGUGACCGGCCACACUGGGACUGAGACACGGCCCAGACUCCUACGGGAGGCAGCAGUGGGGAAUAUUGCACAAUGGGCGCAAGCCUGAUGCAGCAACGCCGCGUGAGGGACGAAGGCCUUCGGGUUGUAAACCUCUUUUAGCAGGGAAGAAGCGAAAGUGACGGUACCUGCAGAAAAAGCACCGGCUAACUACGUGCCAGCAGCCGCGGUAAUACGUAGGGUGCAAGCGUUGUCCGGAAUUAUUGGGCGUAAAGAGCUCGUAGGCGGUUUGUCACGUCUGCUGUGAAAACCCGAGGCUCAACCUCGGGCUUGCAGUGGGUACGGGCAGACUAGAGUGCGGUAGGGGAGAUUGGAAUUCCUGGUGUAGCGGUGGAAUGCGCAGAUAUCAGGAGGAACCCCGAUGGCGAAGGCAGAUCUCU